AUUCUAAAAUGAAUUAAAUUGUUUGGGUUUUUUUUCUCAUAAAUUUACACACAAUACCCCAUAGUGUAAAGCAAAUAAAUGGUUUUCAGAAUUGUUUGCAAAUUUAUAAAAAAUAAUUUAACGGAGAUAUCACAGAACGAUGGAGGCCACUGUGUUCUUCGGGACCUUCAAUGCUGCAGAAAUCUUUUGGUACCCUUCCCCAGAUCUGUGCCUCGACAUAAUUCCUUCGACCUCACGGCUUCGUUUUUGCUCUGACUUGCACUGUCAACUGUGGGACCUUAUAUAGACAGGUGUGUGUCUUUCCAAAUCACGUCCAAUCAAUUGAAUUUACCACAGGUGGACUCCCAUCAAGUUGUAGAAACAUCUAAAGGAUGAUCAAUGGAAACAGGAUGCAGCGGAGCUAAAUUUCGAGUCUCAUAGCAAAGGGUCUGAAUACUUAUGUAAAUAAGGUACUUUUAUUUUAUACAUUUGCCAACAUUUCUAAAAAAUGAUUUUCACCUUGUCGUUAUGGGGUAUGUGUGUACAUUGAUGAGGGAAAAAUGAUUGAAUUCAUAUUAGAAUAAGGCUGUAACGUAACAAAAUGUGGGAAAUGUCAAGGGGUCUGAAUACUUUCCGAAUGCACUAUACAUGUAAACCAUUACAGGAGAGCGUGUGUGACCUGCGCCAGUAUUCAUAAAGCAUCUCAGAGCACGACUGCUGAUCUAGGAUCAAGUCCCCCAUGUCCAUGUGAUCUUAUUCAUUAUGAUCUAAAAGGUAAAACUGGUCCUAAAUCACCACUUCUACUUUGAGAUGCUUGACACAUAUGGCCCCUGUUCUCUUUAGCCUCCUAACAGCCCACCUAGUGGAGAAGUAAGCCCACCUUCCUCCGGACUGCCUUCCUUCCCAAGAGGAAUGUAGCCUACAGAACCUGAUGUUAAAAGAGCUGGAAUCUCCCUUUAUCAGCCCUACACAUACCAAAGAUAACAGGCGAGAUAGCCUCUUUCAUUCCAUUCCCACGCCUUCAUCAUUGUUAGCAGGGCAGGCCCCAGGCAUAAGUGACAUAAGUGAUUGCUUAGGAACUGCUCUCAACUUACUUUGGAGAGUUGGAAUAGUAGAAUACACAAAGUGCAAGUUCAAAAUGGGGUUGUGCAUUAGCUGUUUUUCUCUUGUUAUGACAGUUACUGACAAUCACUCAAUAUCAUUAACAUGGCAUAAAUCAUGGCACAAUCUUUAGAAUAUCAAGACAUUAGCUUUAAAACUGCACAGAUUUAUCUCCACCCUAUGGCAAAAUGGGAAUAAUUGCAAGAAAUGUGUUAUAAAAGUGCUAAAUGUUCUCUCCGCCCCAUGGCAAAAAGUGUAGAACUGCAGGAUAUUUACUUUAAAACUGAAAAAUUUCUCUCAGACGUCAAGAGGAAGCCACUAAAAAGUGUUUCCCCCUUCCACCAAAUCUUGCCUUGGGCCCCCAAAAGGUUAGGGCUGGCCUUGAUCGCCAGGAACGCUUGCCUUGGGCCCCCAAAAGAUUAGGGCUGGCCUUGAUCGCCAGGAACGCUUGCCUUGGGCCCCCAAAAGGUUAGGGCUGGCCUUGAUCGUCAGGAACGCUUGCCUUGGGCCCCCAAAAGGUUAGGGCUGGCCUUGAUCGUCAGGAACGCUUGCCUUGGGCCCCCAAAAGGUUAGGGCUGGCCUUGAUCGUCAGGAACGCUUGCCUUGGGCCCCCAAAAGGUUAGGGCUGGCCUUGAUCGUCAGGAACGCUUGCCUUGGGCCCCCAAAAGGUUAGGGCUGGCCUUGAUCGUCAGGAACGCUUGCCUUGGGCCCCCAAAAGGUUAGGGCUGGCCUUGAUCGUCAGGAACGCUUGCCUUGGGCCCCCAAAAGGUUAGGGCUGGCCUUGAUCGCCAGGAACGCUUGCCUUGGGCCCCCAAAAGGUUAGGGCUGGCCUUGAUCGUCAGGAACGCUUGCCUUGGGUCCCCAAAAGGUUAGGGCUGGCCUUGAUCGUCAGGAACGCUUGCCUUGGGCCCCCAAAAGGUUAGGGCUGGCCUUGAUCGUCAGGAACGCUUGCCUUGCCAGCUGACUGUUCCCUUAUCGGCAGCCUUGCUGCUCUUAUUUGUAGAUUUUCUUUCUAUUCAUUCCAGCUUUCAUUUUUGCCCUUGAUCAUGACACUCCCUCAGUUGAGGCAUUUUUUCACGGGUCAAGCGAGGAUGGAGAAAGCCUGACCGAGGGUAUGACAGGUUAUUUCUGGGGCCCUAUUGUUCUGACCCAUGGCUGAUGUCAUUAAGUGUUAUUAACUGACUCAUAGGAGUGCGAGAGUCCGGACUACGGGUAGACUUCUGAGCCCAUUGUGUCCAGCUCCCACUUCCUUCCCUUCGCCACACAUUCCUGGCUGUGGUGCCCAC